rnacentral:rRNA from 1 species
GAUAUAUAUGAUCCUAGAACUUGGAAUAUUCUCGACAAUAAAUCAAGAGAUAUUCUGUUUGAAAAAGGACCUAUAAGGGAAUACAAUCUUGUGUUUCCCGAAGAUGAAAUUAGUGGCAGGCAUUUUUCAUAUGAUUACUACACAAGAAAGUUAAGGAAUGGCGAGUUCAGUGAUAGGAGGUGGUUAGUGUACUCUAAACACGUGAAUAAAGUCUACUUUGUUGCAAAUUGUUUAAAUAUGGAAAAGGCAAAAGUCUACUAG